CACGUAGGGCGCAAGCGUUGUCCGGAAUUAUUGGGCGUAAAGAGCUCGUAGGCGGUCUGUCGCGUCGGCUGUGAAAUCCCGAGGCUCAACCUCGGGUCUGCAGUCGAUACGGGCAAACUAGAGUAUUGCAGGGGAGACUGGAAUUCCUGGUGUAGCGGUGAAAUGCGCAGAUAUCAGGAGGAACACCGGUGGCGAAGGCGGGUCUCUGGGCAAUAACUGACGCUGAGGCACGAAAGCGUGGGGGAGCAAACAGG
rnacentral:rRNA from 1 species